CUGAGAAUUGCAAACUAAUUUGUGAAGGAAAUGUAAAUGAUUGUAAACUAUUGACAAUCAAUUCCAGCAAAUAAGAUACUUCUGAUGUUGCAAUUAUCGUGAUUAUCAGAUUACGAUUUUAUCGAGCUUAUUGUACGGUAGUACUAUGGUACACCGUACAUCUUAAUAAGAGAUUUGGGCAAGCAUAGUUCAGAGUGGAAAUAGGAAAACACAAAUGCAACCUCUGCCACCUAAAUGGUAAUCGUUCUAUAACACAUGUUUAAACAUCAAAGCAAACGAAUACAGUCUCGAUCGGAUGGUCGUGCCGAGCUAGCUUGCCGCACGGUAUCAGCACCACAUAGUAGAUGCUUUCUUCGCAGUCAUCGACUGAUCGUAUCUUGGGUGUGCACAGGAAAAAGGUGAUCGAUCGUCCUUCAUUCUCCGUGACUUAGAGACGGGAGAAUUGAGAUCCGGCGGGGAAGUAAGUCGUCGGUAUCGGAGGAGGCUUCGACUUGUUCUUGGAGUCGUUCUUCCUCGACUCGCCUUUGCCCUCGACACAGCCGUCUUUGCUUACCGAGCGGCUCUUGUUCGAGUGAUCAGCUUCGAUGGGAAGGAUCCUUCCCAUCGAAGCUGAUCACUCUCCCAUUUGAACGAUCGGAGAAACAACUGAAGAGGGUCGAGAAGAGACUCAUGAUCGAUGAGGAUGGAAGCAGAAAAUAUUAUUCUGCCAGCAGAAGAGGCUGAGACAAAUUAGCACUUGGCAGAAGCUGUCGUUGUACUAGCUAACUUUGCUGAGAUGUGGUGAGAAAAUUCACGAUUUUUUUUGUUCACUUUAUAUAAAGACAUGUGGAUGAGGAACCACCGGCCGUGAUGGCUCCGUUGGGUAGACUUCUGUGAUCCUUUGCGAGAGAGGUGAAGAGUUCGAAUCCCUUACAACGCAAAAAGGCUAGUGGAGUUACUUGGUGACUUACUCGGUGGCAUGGGGUGGUGGUUUCCACGUGUUGCCCCUAGGUUCUUCCCGCCGGCUGUCGGCUUACGGGGUUUCCUGGGUUAUCAAAAAAAAAGAAAAAAAAAAAGACAUGUGGAUGAGGCUUUGAAGAGACCUGGCCUUGGCUUCCAGGGAAUUGGUGGGUUUCCUGUGUCACUAUCAUUUACUCUUCCUCCUCCUUAGGUUCUUGGAAUUACUUAGGUUAUAAAUUGUGAGCAGAAGAUAUUAUUCUGCGAGCAGAAGAGGCUGAGACAAAUUAGCACUUGGCAGAAUCUGUCGUUGUACUAGCUAACUUUGCUGAGAUGUGGUGAGAAAAUUCACGAUUUUUUUUGUUCACUAUAUAUAAAGAUAUGUGGAUGAAGCUUUGAAGAGACUUGGCCUUUGCUUCCAGGG
rnacentral:lncRNA from 1 species